rnacentral:rRNA from 2 species
GUGAACCUGCGGAAGGAUCUUG